UGCUGCUGAUGAUGAUGAUGAUGAUGAUGAUGAUGAUGUGUGGAUGAACAUGCUGUCGUGUAUUACGUUAGUCGUCGUCGUCGUCGUCUUCAUCAUCUAUC
rnacentral:miRNA from 1 species